GAAGAAGGUAGCAGAGCAAGAAUGAUUAUUCUGACAUAAAAUGACUGAAUAAUAAGUGUCUAUUUCUCAAUAGAAGUCUAUGUGAUUUUGACCUUCUUGGAACCAGCAGGUUCUUCCUAUUUAGAACACGAUAGGGGAGGGGGUUGAUAUGUCCAGUGAAUGUACAGUCGAUGAUCCAGCCAGAGGUUACAAUAUUUAGAGAGAAAAUGAACAACAAAAUAAAACAAAAUGUUAAUGGAUCUAUUUGUUUGCAAGUGCAUUUAUUGGAAUGGAGCAGAGGAGGGAGCUAGUUUCUACCUAACAUUUAUAAGCUUUUUAAAACCUCUUUUUCCCCCCACAAUUUGAAUAAAAAAUACUCAGAAAUGCAGUUUUAAUCCUAAUUUUCUUUAUAUAUGUCCUCCAUCAUGAGAAAAUGCUACAAAUACUAUUUUCAUUAGAGCGGGUCUUUCAAUGGGAUUAAAACAUUUUUUUUUUGUUUUCAAAUCUCCUCUUUCUGUGUUUUUUUGUUCUCUCUCUCUCUUAUUAAUAAUGAGAAACGUUUGGCUGGGAUUUGGUACAUUCCACCUCCCGGCUUCAGCUUCACAGAGUCAGCUGCAGUCAGUGAUGGACCUCCAAGAGCUGUUUUAAUUAGAGCUAUCUGGACUCUGGAGACAUCCCUCCCUAAAUAGAACAAAGCUGGCGAGAGACAAAAAAGUGUGCCUUUCAGGAUGCCUCAAAACACCAACUGCAGCCCCCCCUCCCAAUGGUGUGUGGAUACUGCACAGCAGGGGCAGCGUCACCUGACAGAUGGAAAUGAUGAGGGCAGGCAGCAGGAACACAGCCAUGGUCAUCCAGGUGACAUAGGCUUUGAGCCCCCACGGCUCUGCGAAGUGCCCCCAGCACUCGUACUCUCCGGGAGCCACUUCAGAUCGAGAGAAGAUGAACACCUGACAAAAAAAAA